rnacentral:lncRNA from 1 species
CGCUUGCUCUGCUCAUCCUCGAAAGUACCACCGAACUCUGCAACUCUUCCCCUCGUGGUUUCUAACUAUUCUUUCGCUAAGUACCACAGUACUUAUCUAGUUAUCUACCCUAGAUUACUCCUCUACUCAAAUCCCCUAAAGGAUUCCAACUAAAUAUUCUCACUCAUCACAUACUGAAAAGCACAUCGCAUAUAACAGCAAUCCCUAGGCUAAGGCAUCACNGUACUUAUCUAGGUAUCUCCCCUAGAUUACUCCUCUACUCAAAUCCCCUAAAGGAUUCCAACUAAAUAUUCUCACUCAUCACAUACUCAAAAGCACAUCGCAUAUAACAGCAAUCCCUAGGCUAAGGCAUCACAAAUUAGGCCACUCUAGUCCUAAGAUAUGGGAUAUCUAGCCUGUCUCUAGCAUGCAAAAAUAUCUUAUAAAGUGCAUCAUAAAUAUCUCAUAACACAAAAGUAAAGGUAUUUUGGGAAAUCACCAUUCGGGCUCU